UCGCCCUUCGGUUGAUCCUGCCGGAGGCUACCGCUAUUGGAGUUCGAUUAAGCCAUGCGAGUCGCGAGAAAUUAGAUUCUCGGCGUACCGCUCAGUAACACGUGGGUAACCUGCCCUAUGCUGGAUAAUAACCUCGGGAAACUGAGAAUAAUGAUCCAUAGUUCACUACGCCUGGAACGGUGAGUGGAUGAAAGCUCCGGCGGCAUAGGAUGGGCCUGCGGCGUAUCAGGUUGUAGGGGGUGUAACGUACCCUCUAGCCCUCUACGCGUACGGGUGUUGGGAGACAUAGCCCGGAGAUGGAUUCUGAGACACGAAUCCAGACCCUACGGGGUGCAGCAGGCGCGAAAACUUGGCAAUGCGAGAAAUCGUGACCAGGGAACUCCAAGUGCAUCGGGUAAGACCGGUGCUUUUCUUGACUCUAAAUAGGUCUUGGAAUAAGGGGUGGGUAAGGACGGUGCCAGCCGCCGCGGUAAUACCGGCGCCUCAAGUGGUAGUCGCUUUUAUUGGGCCUAAAACGUCCGUAGCCGGUCUGAUACAUUCGUGGGUAAAUCAACCAGCUUAACUGGUUGAAUUCUGCGAGGACGGUCAGACUUGGGACCGGGAGAGGUGUGGGGUACGCUCAGGGUAGGGGUAAAAUCCUGUCAUCCUGAGCGGACCACCUGUUGCGAAGGCGCCACACUAGAACGGAUCCGACGGUCAGGGACGAAGCCUAGGGGCACGAACCGGAUUAGAUACCCGGGUAGUCCUAGGUGUAAACGCUGUGGACUUGAUGUUGGGGGUGCUCCGAGCACUCUCAGUGUCGAAGCGAAGGUGAUAAGUCCACUGCCUGGGAAGUACGUACGCAAGUAUGAAACUUAAAGGAAUUGGCGGGGGAGCACCACAAGGGGUGAAGCCUGCGGUUCAAUUGGAGUCAACGCCAGAAAUCUUACCCGGAGAGACAGCAGAAUGAAGGUCAAGCUGAAGACUUUACCAGACAAGCUGAGAGGUGGUGCAUGGCCGUCGCCAGCUCGUGCCGUGAGAUGUCCUGUUAAGUCAGGUAACGAGCGAGAUCCCUGCCUCUAGUUGCCACCAUUACUCUCAGGAGUAGUGGGGCGAAUUAGCGGGACCGCCGCAGUUAAUGCGGAGGAAGGAAGGGGCCACGGCAGGUCAGUAUGCCCCGAAACUCUGGGGCCACACGCGGGCUGCAAUGGUAAUGACAAUGGGUUCCGAAUCCGAAAGGAGGAGGUAAUCCUCAAACAUUACCACAGUUAUGACUGAGGGCUGCAACUCGCCCUCACGAAUAUGGAAUCCCUAGUAACUGCGUGUCAUUAUCGCGCGGUGAAUACGUCCCUGCUCCUUGCACACACCGCC
rnacentral:rRNA from 1 species